rnacentral:rRNA from 1 species
CCAGAGCCUGAAUCAGUGUGUGUGUUAGUGGAAGCGUCUGGAAAGGCGCGCGAUACAGGGUGACAGCCCCGUACACAAAAAUGCACAUGCUGUGAGCUCGAUGAGUAGGGCGGGACACGUGGUAUCCUGUCUGAAUAUGGGGGGACCAUCCUCCAAGGCUAAAUACUCCUGACUGACCGAUAGUGAACCAGUACCGUGAGGGAAAGGCGAAAAGAACCCCGGCGAGGGGAGUGAAAAAGAACCUGAAACCGUGUACGUACAAGCAGUGGGAGCACGCUUCGGCGUGUGACUGCGUACCUUUUGUAUAAUGGGUCAGCGACUUAUAUUCUGUAGCAAGGUUAACCGAAUAGGGGAGCCGAAGGGAAACCGAGUCUUAACUGGGCGUUAAGUUGCAGGGUAUAGACCCGAAACCCGGUGAUCUAGCCAUGGGCAGGUUGAAGGUUGGGUAACACUAACUGGAGGACCGAACCGACUAAUGUUGAAAAAUUAGCGGAUGACUUGUGGCUGGGGGUGAAAGGCCAAUCAAACCGGGAGAUAGCUGGUUCUCCCCGAAAGCUAUUUAGGUAGCGCCUCGUGAAUUCAUCUCCGGGGGUAGAGCACUGUUUCGGCAAGGGGGUCAUCCCGACUUACCAACCCGAUGCAAACUGCGAAUACCGGAGAAUGUUAUCACGGGAGACACACGGCGGGUGCUAACGUCCGUCGUGAAGAGGGAAACAACCCAGACCGCCAGCUAAGGUCCCAAAGUCAUGGUUAAGUGGGAAACGAUGUGGGAAGGCCCAGACAGCCAGGAUGUUGGCUUAGAAGCAGCCAUCAUUUAAAGAAAGCGUAAUAGCUCACUGGUCGAGUCGGCCUGCGCGGAAGAUGUAACGGGGCUAAACCAUG